rnacentral:tRNA from 1 species
GCUCGGCUGGCUUAGUUGGUAGAGCAUGUGCCUCUUGAUCUUGGGGCCGUGAGCUCAAGCCCCACGUUGGGCA